GAAAACUGACCCUCCGUGAAAGUAAUAAACUUGCUGCUCUGAACAUCAGAUCCAUAAGCAGGAGUAACAGGUAACCUGAAGUGUCACCUCCAAGAACGGGACCCAGCCCCACAAUGAGGAAGCAAUUUAACUCUGCCUUAGCCUUGAAAAUGUGACAAAACUGAGUUGGACAGCAGUCUUGAGACACAUGGGACAAAAGGCGAGAUUCGUUCUGUCCGGGGAAAAACAAGAUUUUCAGGACAAAUGAGAGAGUGACAGAUUCAUAAAGAGAGUGACAAAUUCAUCGAUGAAGACUGCGGAGAGGAGAGGUGAGGAAGCCACAGGCAGUCAGCAGAAAGCAGUGAGCUGCUCCCUCCACAGGCCCGGCAGCGGCAGCCCCGCGAUCUCCAGGGUGGACGUCGGUACUUCAUGGCAACCUGCACUGCCAGGUGCUCCUGCCCAACUGUCGGCUAACAUUUACCCAUUCCAAGCGCACUUAAGAAAAGAAAUCUAGGGUGUUGGCUACGUUUGCUCAUGUUGAGAAUGCAAAAGGCCACUGUUUCUUAAGCGGCUCUUGCACAACAAAGAAAAACUACCUGCUCCCUGGCCCAGCUGCCUGCUUUGCUGGAGAAGGCAGGCGGGGUGGAGACUCCUCCAGGAGGUGUUUAAUAAUCUGCAAAGGUCCAGACAGCAACCCGGGGCAGACACAGCUCAAGCCAGCCAACCUGACCAUUGGAAAGAAAGGAGGAGAAUGCACACUUUCCUGGGUUCAGCUCUCUGGGGUCCCCAACACCUCCUCUUUGUGGCCAUCUUGUCCCCUGGCACCAAAGCUGAGCUCAGAGGAAAGCACCUGCCAUGAUCCACUCUGUCUCUGCCGCCUCCCUGCCCACUCCUGUGGGAAGCUCCCUCUCGGCAUCUGUCCGUCAUCAGCAUCUGUCCGUCAUCGGCAUCUGUCUGUCACGGGUCAUCUGCCGCACCACACUGAGAACCCAUGAGUGCCAAAUGUCCCCCGUCAGCUGGCCCACCCGCAUUUCAUCUUCCUGGCUUAAGAAGGUGAGUCUCAGGGCCCAGCCGUCUAUCAGAACUGACCUGGUCUUCUCCGACCCCUUUCCCUAUGAUUUUUUGGUGGCUUUUUUCUUUUAGGAUUUUCUAUAUCCCACGUUGGUCACUUACACUCUGUAUUUACUCUCUUAUAAAAAUAUGUUACUAUUGGUGAUAACCAUUGGGUUUCGCAAGAAAACCUGUAUCCUGGCACCCACUGCGGGGCUGGGAAUCUGCGCAGAUAGCUGCCUGGUCUUUGGUGACCAGAUUUUCCACGUUCCUCCUUGAGCGCUGCCAUGUGACAGCAGCCUCAGACAGCAACAACUGGUCCAGUGCCCAACUCGCACGACAUCCCCGUGGAAAGACGCAAACAUUUACUCAACAUGUUUCUUCUCUGUGGAGCAAGCUCUAAGCAUCCAAGCAAAGCUGAAGGGGGGCUCUCCCUACACUGCCCUAAACACCUGGUUAUUUGCCAGGUCCACACUUGGCAGUGCUAACUCAGCAUGACAACACGCUUACCAAGUUCCUUUUCAGAGUGGACUUUCACCUCCCCUUAUUCUGUGCAUUCAGCACAGCGUAUGGAGAAAAAGGCUAAGCUGGGAAUCAGGACGCCUGGAUUUGAGCUCUGCACCAUUCCUGUGGCCUUGGCUCAGUUAUUAAAUCUUUCUGCAUUUCAGUACCUGUAAAAUGUCAGGAUUCACUCAAAAAUCACCUCCAAGUUUCCUGCAGUUAUAACACAUAUAUGAUUGUCUAUAUUAACCUUCUAAAACAAGCCCAAAUACAAAUAAUGUAAGUUUACAAAGAAACAUAAACAAUCACGAAAGCAAAUGCUUUCCUUCACGGUCAUUACACCAAGUCAAUGUAACACUCCUAACGAUAUAACACCGUGCUCUAAAAUGGCGGCCGCCCUAACCCCGCUCGGGCCAAGAAGGUGCAGUUUCAUCACCUACCACCUUGUAGGAAUCUAAAUGGAGUUUUCGUGGGUCCAAAACAUGUAAAAUGCUUUCCAAAAUGGUCUACUAUUCCCCUGGACGGGAUUUAAGGAUUGCCUAAAACACACACUCUCGACGGCCCCCUUAAUGUUCACAGCUAAGCAAAAAACCUGGUUUGUAAAUCAUCUCCCACACACAUAUAAAAUCCCAAAUUCUAACUGUAAUAACUUUCUUUUUAAUCAAUACCUAUACUUUAAAAUAUGUAAAUAUUAGGAAAAUCAACCUUACUUUCUAAAGUUCAAAUUCUUAGCAGCCCAUAAUCUUUCAUCAACCUAGAAAAUAACUGAUAAGCCAAUCUUCCUGUGAAACCAUUAACAGAUUCUGCUUUUCUGUCACCAGGGUAAUUUACCGAGGCUAAUUUUAAUCCUACCACUAAACCACUAAUCGCAUGACUCUACAGAAUUGUCCCCAAGUUUACGUUGCUACGGCAAGCACUUUUACAUUAGGAAUUCACUUAUUUAUUAACACUUUUAUUUUUUAAGUUGGUUUUAGGAAUGAGAUCGUCUUGCUUGCCUCUCAUUUUAAAAAGUAAAAAGCCAUUUUUGAAAAAAGGAAGCUACUUGAGCACCUGGGGUUGCACUGCACUCAACACAAUAACGUUAAUUUAAAUUAUGCUUGGUGUUACUCAAAGGGACAAAUUAUCAUCAUUAUGCUAAUGGUCAUGCUAAAGACAUGAAAAGCUUUGAAAUGAUUAAUCUAAAUCUGGGGGGAAUAUGAUUAUCAAUGUGAAUGAUGGUAUUUUCUCAAACUGGCAUAAAAAUGUUCUGUCUGUGUCACUGAUAAUGUCAAUAUAAAUGAUGCAUCACCAAAGGCAACGUGCACUCACACGCUCUUCGCUCACGUUCUCGAAGCAAAGCCCCAGCCCACCUUUCAGUCCACAUAUGCCUUGCUUUGGGGACACACGUGUGGAUGAAUAGAAAUUUGUUUACUUCUUUCGUAAAACAGAGAAAACAGGAUGAUUAAAGCCAACAAGACUGAGACAACGAGAGAGAGGUGUCUGGAGACACAUUUGCUUUGGUGUCGACUCGACAGCC
rnacentral:lncRNA from 10 species